UACGUAGGGUGCAAGCGUUGUCCGGAAUUAUUGGGCGUAAAGAGCUCGUAGGCGGUUUGUCGCGUCGAAUGUGAAAACCCGGGGCUCAACCCUGGGCCUGCAUUCGAUACGGGCAGACUAGAGUUCGGUAGGGGAGACUGGAAUUCCUGGUGUAGCGGUGAAAUGCGCAGAUAUCAGGAGGAACACCGGUGGCGAAGGCGGGACUCUGGGCCGAUACUGACGCUGAGGAGCGAAAGCGUGGGGAGCAAACAGG
rnacentral:rRNA from 1 species